rnacentral:lncRNA from 1 species
CUGCUGUCGCUUUUAUUUGUUCUCAUACAUUGUAUAACAUUAUUCCUUGAAGAUAAGCAAGACAGUAAGACGUUCUGUGUCAGGGUCCGCCACAACAACUAGUCUCAACACAAGUUCGUCUUAUACACUCACAAUCGCAAAUUGCUUUACACUGUGCACAGUUGUUAAUAGACCGAACAUUUCUCGUAUGCCUUGUCGGGUUCUUUGUGUCUUUCGUUAUCAAUUGAAUAGAUUGGUACGCUAUUAAUCAAAUAAAAAGAAAAGUUAUUAUCAUUAUUAAAAAGUAACAUGUGAGUUUAUAACACAUCAUAUUGAAUAUGUGGUGUUGACUUUAUUGACUAUAUCAAAUUGAUAAAUGUGACAUAAUGGAACUGUAUAUUAUCAAGAUAUGUUGCUGUUUAUACUGAGUAUAUCCCUAUACCAGUUGGUCAAUACAGGAGACGCUUAAUAUGUU